GAUGAACGCUGGCGGCGUGCUUAACACAUGCAAGUCGAACGAAGCAUUUAGAACAGAUUACUUCGGUUUGAAGUUCUUUAUGACUGAGUGGCGGACGGGUGAGUAACGCGUGGGUAACCUGCCUUGUACUGGGGGAUAGCAGCUGGAAACGGCUGGUAAUACCGCAUAAGCGCACAAUGUUGCAUGACAUGGUGUGAAAAACUCCGGUGGUAUAAGAUGGACCCGCGUCUGAUUAGCUAGUUGGUGAGAUAACAGCCCACCAAGGCGACGAUCAGUAGCCGAACUGAGAGGGUGACCGGCCACAUUGGGACUGAGACACGGCCCAGACUCCUACGGGAGGCAGCAGUGGGGAAUAUUGCACAAUGGAGGAAACUCUGAUGCAGCGACGCCGCGUGAGUGAAGAAGUAAUUCGUUAUGUAAAGCUCUAUCAGCAGGGAAGAUAGUGACGGUACCUGACGAAGAAGCGCCGGCUAAAUACGUG
rnacentral:rRNA from 1 species